CUCAAUGGUAGUGUUGUUUUCAAUUCCUUAAACAGUUUGUGUUUCCUAACCAGGCAAAACGAAAUAGUAGGCUGGUGACUGGUGGUUAUGGGGAAUCAAGAGAGUCGCCUCUGCGAUGUGUAGCCUAUGAUUGCCGGAGCAGAGCUUGCCUGCCCACAACCCUCACCAGCUGAUAUAAACUACGUGUGCUGGGUGUGGCGUGGCCUUUCACUGCCAGAUAACAGAACCCUUGUUGCUCUGCGCAUCCAGUGCUGCUAAUAUUUUCCUUACCAUAGUACCCUAUCUAGUCCAAAUACAAGUCGCGAGAAACCACUGGUCGAAUCCAAGUCAAGUCAGAAGUCAUGAAAAUCUGGACUCCGUCCUGACUACAACACUGGACUUCUUGGGUGAGCGACUGCGGCUCCUCUCUGGGCGGUGCUUUUCACGGGACUUGCUGUGCUUGUGGUGGCGGUCUCUUUCCCUGGAGCGUGAAUGCUGCCGGUCUGUCUUUUUCUCCCGCCUGGGCUCCUCACUGUUCCACUGUAGGUAUAACAUAGGGAGAGAAACAGGUUUGACAAAGGUUCAAGAUAAAUCUUUGGUGGUGCUGAAACAAAGCUCUGUGGAAUGACUCAGUAUACCUCAAGUGACUAGUGUCACAACUGCUGAAAUGACAAGCCAUUCCCAAAUUACAUGAGUCAUGCUUAUUCUAAUGCUCUUACUGAACAUUCUUGUGAAAAUAUAUGUGCCCACCACAAGGAAAACAAUUAGUUCAAAAGCCAUUUUCGGGCGACCUUGGAUUUCUUGGAUUUCCUGGUGUCCUCGUCAUCUGAGUGAUCGUGUUUCUUAUCCUUGUGUUUCUUCUCAGCAUGCCGAUGGCUUGUUCCUUCUUCCUCUUCCUCUAAAAGCAGGUCGUAUUUGGAGCUUUUGGGAAUGUUUAGAAAAACUUGAGGAAGUAAAGUGUGCAAUUCCAAGUUUGCCAAGUCUUUCAGAGAAAUGUCUUCACAAUAGUUUACCUCUCUCUGUCCUGCCAGCUAUGUGAAAUGGUGCACAGUUGAGUUUAAGUAUUUUACACUUGAACUCAUAUUCUCCUCUACAUAUUGAAUAGCAAAUAUAAACACAUUUAAGGAUACUCCUGCUUAGGUUUGACUUUAUCCUUAAGAGCUAAUUUGGAUCCCGCGUCUUUUUCAUAGGCCUUGAAGUCAUCCUUGGUAUACUUUCCACCUAGAAAACAAAAGACCCAUGUGAAGUUCUCUACUUAGCAGAGACUGGCUGAAGUCCACGUGUAUGCGCCUGUCAUCUAUGAGCACAUUGUCCAUCUUGAAGAAGGCCUUUUCACAGUCCUCCUCCUGUGCACAGAAAGGACAUCAAUUGCAUCUAAAAGAGGGUCAUGUGAGCCCUUAUGGAUCCAGUGAACAAGGGAAUUAAUUUCAGUAAACAAAACCAUAUGACCAUUCAAAUGAAUUAAUUUGUACACUCUCAA